AGUGGGAGCAAGAUGAAGUCACAGACCCAGGUCCUGAUAUCCCUGCUGCUUUGGGUAUCUGGUGCCUGUGCAGACAUUGUGAUGACCCAGUCUCCAUCCUCCUUGGCUGUUUUAGCAGGAGAGAAGGUCACCAUCAGCUGCAGGUCCAGUCAGAGUCUUUAUUACAGUGGCAACCAAAAGAACUUAUUGUCCUGGUACCAGUACAAACCAGGGCAAUCCCCUAAGCUGCUGAUAUACUGGGCAUCCACUCGACACACUGGGGUCCCUGAUCGUUUCACAGGCAGUGGAUCUGGGACAGAUUUCACUCUCAGCAUCAGCAGUGUGCAGGCUGAAGACCUGGCAGUUUAUUACUGUAUGCAGGGUUACAUCCCUCCCACAUAUUUCUCAAAACUCUGGUAUGGUGUGAAAGAGGCUUCACUGCCAUCGUUCCCUGGGUAUUUACCCAUCUUGGUUGAGGAGAUCUCCUACAGGAUUUUUGUGAAUAUGUACUGCUGUUCAGAUGAAUUGAUGAUUCCAUAG